rnacentral:rRNA from 1 species
CCGAAAUUGUUAAGCACAGGGACACAUAGAGAUAUCCGAACCCGGGCGUUGGUUGACCCGGGCGCAAGGGACCGAACAUCAGUAGGGAAGUCGGAGAUGCUCUGUGGCGAGAAAAGCUGUGUGUAUUGAUUAGGCGCCCGUACCGCAAACCGACACAGGUAGAUGAGGAGAGGAUCCUAAGGCCAACGGGAGAAGGGUUGUUAAGGAACUCGGCAAAUUGACCCCGUAACUUCGGGAUAAGGGGAGCCUCCUACGGGAGGCCGCAGUGAAUAGGCCCAAGCAACUGUUUACCAAAAACACAGGUUUCUGCUAAAUCGAAAGAUGACGUAUAGGGGCUGACGCCUGCCCGGUGCCGGAAGGUUAAGAGGAGAGCUUAGCGCAAGCGAAGGUUCGAAUUGAAGCCCCGGUAAACGGCGGCCGUAACAAUAACGGUCCUAAGGUAGCGAAAUUCCUUGUCAGGUAAGUUCUGACCCGCACGAAUGGCGUAAUGAUUUGGGCACUGUCUCAACAGCCCGCCCGGCGAAAUUGUAGUACUGGUGAAGAUGCCAGUUACCCGCAACUAGACGGAAAGACCCCAUGGAGCUUUACUGUAGCCUAAUACUGAAGAUCGGUAAUGCAUGUACAGGAUAGGUGGGAGCCAGCGAAACCCGGGCGUCAGCUCGGAUGGAGGCAACCUUGGAAUACCACCCUUGUAUUGCUGGUUUUCUAACCUGCGGCCAUGAAUCUGGUCGGGGGACACUGUUAGGUGGGCAGUUUGACUGGGGCGGUCGCCUCCAAAAGCGUAACGGAGGCGCUCAAAGGUUGGCUCAGCACGGACGGAAAUCGUGCAUAGAGUGCAAACGCAUAAGCCAACUUGACUGCGAGACCGACGGGUCGAGCAGGUACGAAAGUAGGAGUUAGUGAUCCGGUGGUAUGUGAGUGGAAAUGCCAUCGCUCAACGGAUAAAAGCUACCCUGGGGAUAACAGGCUGAUCUCCCCCAAGCGUCCACAGCGACGGGGAGGUUUGGCACCUCGAUGUCGGCUCGUCACAUCCUGGGGCUGUAUUCGGUCCCAAGGGUUCGGCUGUUCGCCGAUUAAAGUGGCACGCGAGCUGGGUUCAGAACGUCGUGAGACAGUUCGGUCCCUAUCUGUUGCGGGCGCAGGAGAUUUGAAGGGAGCUGUCCUUAGUACGAGAGGACCGGGAUGGACAGACCUCUGGUGCACCAGUUGUCGUGCCAACGGCACAGCUGGGUAGCUACGUCUGGACGAGAUAAACGCUGAAAGCAUCUAAGUGUGAAACUCCCCCUAAGAUAAGAUCUCCCAUCCAUUAGGAGUAAGGGACGACAGAGACUAUGUCGUUGAUAGGUCGGAAGUGUAAGUGCAGUAAUGCAUUGAGCUGACCGAUACUAAUAACCCGAGGGCUUGACCU